rnacentral:lncRNA from 1 species
GUAACACUCACCGUGAAGGUCUGUGGCUUCACUGCUGAAGUCAGUGAGACCACGAACCCAGUGGGAGGAAUGAACAACUCCCGACGGGCUACCUUUAAGAGCUGUAACACUUGCCAUCUUUAAGAGCUGUAACACUUGCCAUCUUUAAGAGCUGUAACACUUGCCAUCUUUAAGAGCUGUAACACUUGCCAUCUUUAAGAGCUGUAACACUCGCUGCGAAGAAUGAAGAACGCCGCGCGCACCACCUUUAAGAGCUGUAAC